ACACGCUGGCGGCAUGCCUAAUACAUGCAAGUCGAGCGAACAGAUGAAGUGCUUGCACUUCUGACGUUAGCGGCGAACGGGUGAGUAACACGUAAGGAAUCUACCUAUAAGCGGGGAUAACAUUCGGAAACGGGUGCUAAUACCGCAUAAUAUCUUCUUCCGCAUGGAAGAAGAUUGAAAGACGGCUCUGCUGUCACUUAUAGAUGACCUUGCGGUGCAUUAGUUAGUUGGUGGGGUAAUGGCCUACCAAGACGAUGAUGCAUAGCCGACCUGAGAGGGUGAUCGGCCACAUUGGGACUGAGACACGGCCCAAACUCCUACGGGAGGCAGCAGUAGGGAAUCUUCCGCAAUGGGCGAAAGCCUGACGGAGCAAUGCCGCGUGAGUGAAGAAGGCCUUCGGGUCGUAAAACUCUGUUAUAAGAGAAGAACAAAUUGUAGAGUAACUGCUACAGUCUUGACGGUAUCUUAUCAGAAAGCCACGGCUAACUACGUG
rnacentral:rRNA from 1 species